rnacentral:rRNA from 1 species
CACGUAGGGUGCGAGCGUUGUCCGGAAUUAUUGGGCGUAAAGAGCUCGUAGGCGGUGUGUCGCGUCGGCCGUGAAAACCUGCAGCUUAACUGUGGGCUUGCGGUCGAUACGGGCAUCACUGGAGUUCGGCAGGGGAGACUGGAAUUCCUGGUGUAGCGGUGAAAUGCGCAGAGAUCCGGAGGAACCCCAGAGGCGAAGGCGGCGUCCUGGCUCGCAUCUGACGCUCAGACACGACAGCAUGGGGAGCGAACGGG